rnacentral:lncRNA from 1 species
AUGAAUUUUCGCACUUGUUACAUUAUGCCAUUUGUCAGGCAUUUCAAAGGAGGCCGUCCAGAUUAGCAGUCUGGCAUCUCUAGCUCUGAAACAUUUGUUUGAAACAUUUAUAGCGUUCGUUUUGCCACGGAGACCUUCUGCUUCCAGCCUGGUCCAUUGAAAUGGAUAUGCAGAAAUGCAGAAAUUAUCCCUCGCCCACAUUUUAUGUUCGCCCUCCAGUACGUUGAGCUGGUUAUAAUUCAAGCUUUAAAGGCUGGAGCGCAGGUUGCUCCUUCAGGGUCUUUUGUUACCCCCUUCAGCGUUUUUUGUUCCAGUACAGGUUAUUCCCAGUCCGGCGCCGCUGAAUUAAUGGAGAAUUAAAGAGCAUCGGCUGAGUGAAGCCUCUCAGAAUCCCAACCCAGAUGAAAGCGGCAGGGGCGGACAAAGCUGUUCUAUCGAUUGACCUAACAGAGGGAUUGAUUGAGGCGCAUUUGCAUGGAGAUCUGUUCCACGGCGGCUUAGAGAUCCUGAUCGAUCGCCCGGGAUUGAAGUGUAGUCGUCUCUGGAUGCUUUUCAGAGGUUGAGGUGAAAAUAAAUUUGUUUGUUUGCCUCACUUUAUAUAAUAAUUUACACGGUAAAAUAAUGAGAUAUGACUUGAUUAUUGGUUUUUAUUUCAUUAUAUGAGCAAUAAAUGUUUUUGUGGAUCAAUAAGGAUAUACAGUAGUACUUAGUAUAGCACUGUUAUGGAAUAAAAUAUGCAUUUUACUGCAUGUGAAGAACUCCAAAUGUGAUCUGAAUGUGAUAAUAUGAAGGAACAUGCGAUAACAUGAAACUACAGCACAUGAGAUUUACACAGUUCUACAAAAUCACUUCUUUACAUUUAAAGUAAAUCGAAUGUGAUUUUUUCUUUCCUUUUUCCUUUUGUAGUGUUGUUAAUAGAAGCAGACCUAGCAUUCCUCAACAUUUGUCCAAAUACUUGUUCCCUCACUGACUUACAGUAUC